rnacentral:rRNA from 1 species
UGAGUACGAGAUGCUACGGCGUCGAAGCAGUCUAGGUCAUACUUCCAAGAAAAGCUUGCACUGUCAUAAACAAAAUGCCUGUACCAUAACCGACACAGGUGGGUAGGUAGAGUAUACUAAGGGGCGCGAGAUAACUCUCUCUAAGGAACUCGGCAAAAUGACUCCGUAACUUCGGGAGAAGGAGGUGCCUUAUUUUUAAGGUUGCAAUAACAAGAUCCAAGCAACUGUUUACCAAAAACACAGGUCUCCGCUAAGUCGUAAGACGAUGUAUGGGGGCUGACGCCUGCCCAGUGCCAGAAGGUUGAAGAAGUUGGUUAGCAUUUGCGAAGCUGAUAACUGAAGCCCUGGUGAACGGCGGCCGUAACAAUAACGGUCCUAAGGUAGCGAAAUUCCUUGUCGGGUAAGUUCCGACCCGCACGAAAGGCGUAAUGAUUUGGAUACUGUCUCGGAGAGGGGCUCGGUGAAAUAGACUUGUCUGUGAAGAUGCGGACUACCUGCACCUGGACAGAAAGACCCUAUGAAGCUUUACUGUAACUUGAGAUUGAAAUUGGACUUUAUUUGCGCAGUAUAGGUGGGAGGCGUUGAGAAUAAUCUUGCGGGAUUAUCGGAGCCAUCAGUGAGAUACCACUCUUGUAAUGUUAGAUUUCUAACUUUGUAUCAUUAUCUGGUCAAAGAACAGUUUCAGGCGGGCAGUUUGACUGGGGCGGUCGCCUCCCAAAGGGUAACGGAGGCGCACAAAGGUUUCCUCUGAACGGGUAGAAAUCGUAUCUAGAGUGUAAAGGCAUAAGGAAGCUUGACUGUGAGACCUACAAGUCGAGCAGGGACGAAAGUCGGUCUUAGUGAUCUGACGGUGCUGAGUGGAAAGGCCGUCACUCAACGGAUAAAAGUUACUCUAGGAUAACAGGCUGAUCUCCCCCAAGAGUUCACAUCGACGGGGAGGUUUGGCACCUCGAUGUCGGCUCAUCGCAUCCUGGGGCGGUAGUACGUCCCAAGGGUUGGGCUGUUCGCCCAUGAAAGCGGUACGCGAGCUGGGUUCAGAACGUCGUGAGACAGUUCGGUCCAUAUCCGGUGUAGGCGUUAGAAUAUUGAAAGGAGCCUUCUUUAGUACGAGAGGACCGAGAAGGACAUACCUCUGGUGUGCCAGUUAUCGUGCCAACGGUAAACGCUGGGUAGCUAUGUAUGGAGUGGAUAACCGCUGAAAGCAUCUAAGUGGGAAGCCCACCUUAAGAUAAGUAUUCC